rnacentral:misc_RNA from 1 species
UCCCAUAAACCGUGGCUCAGUUCAGAUCGUAGGCUGCAACUCGCCUACGUGAAGGCGGAAUCGCUAGUAAUCGCAGGUCAGCAUACUGCGGUGAAUACGUUCCCGGGCCUUGUACACACCGCCCGUCACACCAUGGAAGUUGGCCACGCCCGAAGCCGUUACUCCAACCCUUGUGGAGGAGGACGUCGAAGGUGGGGCUGAUGACUGGGGUGAAGUCGUAACAAGGUAUCCGUACCGGAAGGUGCGGAUGGAUCACCUCCUAACAGGGAGACAACACAAUGAUUUUGAUGCCUGAGUGCUUUUAUUCUUAGGCCGAAAUCCUGUCACCUUAGGUCGAUCGGUACCUCAGCUUUGAAGUCAAGGAUCAGCAGCAAUGUUGAUUGCUUGAUGGAGAUUUUCAGUUCCUAAACUUUGUCUAGGUCACACCCCAAAAGGGAUGAGACUCCUGGGCCAUUAGCUCAGGUGGUUAGAGCGCACCCCUGAUAAGGGUGAGGUCCCUGGUUCAAGUCCAGGAUGGCCCAUUCGGUGUUGGGGGUUUAGCUCAGUUGGUAGAGCGCCUGCUUUGCAAGCAGGAUGUCAGGAGUUCGAGUCUCCUAACCUCCACUGACCGAACUUAAUUCCCAUCUCCAAUUUUUUUGGAGUUGAGCUCGAUUGGAGUGUGAUUUAGAUGUGUCCGCUGGAUGACCCCAGCUUCCUGUCAUUCCAAGUUUUAGGUUUAAGCCUUGAAUUUGGUUGAUAAGAUGCUGGGCU